rnacentral:tRNA from 1 species
UUAAAAUUAGUUAAUAAUCAUAACACAGCUUUGUCAGGGCUGAAUAAUCAUAUAAGUGAUAUUUUAAA